GCAGUCGAGCGGACUUCAUUAGCUUGCUUUUGAAGAUCAGCGGCGGACGGGUGAGUAACACGUGGGCAACCUGCCUGUAAGACUGGGAUAACUUCGGGAAACCGGAGCUAAUACCGGAUAAUCCUUUCCCUCACAUGAGGGAAAGCUGAAAGACNGUUUCGGCUGUCACUUACAGAUGGGCCCGCGGCGCAUUAGCUAGUUGGUGAGGUAACGGCUCACCAAGGCAACGAUGCGUAGCCGACCUGANAGGGUGAUCGGCCACACUGGGACUGAGACACGGCCCAGACUCCUACGGGAGGCAGCAGUAGGGAAUCUUCCGCAAUGGACGAAAGUCUGACGGAGCAACGCCGCGUGAACGAUGAAGGCUUUCGGGUCGUAAAGUUCUGUUGUCAGGGAAGAACAAGUACCGGAGUAACUGCCGGUACCUGA
rnacentral:rRNA from 1 species